UUAUUAAUUUAAUUAUUAAUUGUUUGGUUUUGAAAUUAUUCUUGUUUUAAGUAAAUUUUUUUGAAUUAAUUAAUUUUUAUUAUAGUUUAUUAGUAGAGUGAUUGAAUUUUGAUAUAUAUUUUCUAUUUUUUUAAGAAAAAUUAAUUUUUUGUACCUUGUGUAUCAGGGUUUAUUAAAUAAUAAUUAAUUAUUUAAUUUUCUCGAAUUAAAAAGAGCUAAUUAACUAUUUAUUUAAUUGUUAAAUAAAUUUUUUUAAUAGUUUAUUAGAAAUGAAACGUUAUUCGUUUUUUAAUAUAUCUAGUUUUUUAAGAAAAGAAUUUAAUUCUAUUAUUUUUUACUUAAGUUUAUAUUGUUAAUCUUAAGAUUUUGAAUAUUAAAUGUUCAAGGGGAUGAGCUUUUGAACAAAUAUUCUAAAAAUUUUUAGUGGUCAUUAAUUAUUUGUAUAAUUAGAAUUGUUAAUCUUUAGAAUAAUUUUAUAAUUAAUUUUUAUGUAUUUAUGAUUUUUAUUGUUUUUAGAUUUUUUAUUAAAAUAUAUUUUUUAAUUUUUUCUAUUUAGUUAUUAUGAUGAAAUUAGUAAAAUUUUAAUUGUAUAUUUAUUUUUUGUUGUUAGGUUUUUUAAAGGAAUUCGGCAAAUUUAUUUUUCGCCUGUUUAUUAAAAACAUGUCUUUUUGAUUAUAAUUUAAGGUUUAAUCUGCUCAAUGAGGAUUUAAAUUGCCGCGGUAUUUUGACCGUGCAAAGGUAGCAUAAUAAUUAGUUUCUUUAUUGGAAGCUGGAAUGAAUGAUUGGACGAGAAAAUUACUGUCUCUGAUGAAUUUAAUUUUUAAUUUAACUUUUAAGUUAAAAGGCUUAAAUUUUUAUUAAAGACGAGAAGACCCUAUAGAGUUUAAUAUUUAAAUUAUUUAAUGGUUUUUGGUUAUUUAAUAUUUUAAAUUUUUUAUUUAUUUGGUUGGGGUGACUUGAAGAUUAAAAAAACUCUUCAAAAUUAAUUUUUAAUCAUUGAUUUAUGAAUUUAUAAUCUAUAUUUUUUAAAUUUAAAAUAAAUUACCUUAGGGAUAACAGCGUAAUUUUCUUUUAGAGUUCAUAUUGAAAGGAAAGUUUGCGACCUCGAUGUUGGAUUAAAAUUAAUUUCUGGUGCAGAAGCUGGACAAUUAGGUCUGUUCGACCUUUAAAAUUUUACAUGAUCUGAGUUUAAACCGGUGUGAGCCAGGUUGGUUUCUAUCUUGAUAAUUUUACAAUAUUUUAGUACGAAAGGACCAAGUAUUGGAUAUAUUUAUUUAUUUGUUUGAAU
rnacentral:rRNA from 1 species